AAGCGACCUCGGAUCAGACGAGAGAACCCGCUGAACUUAAGCAUAUCAGUAAGCGGGGGAAAAAAAACACAGUGAUUGUGGCGGCGGGGCAAAGGGGGGAAGAGCCCAGCGCCGAACCCCCGCGUCGCGAAAAAUGGGGCCCCUUGGCGUAUGGGGCGUCGCGCCCGAACCGGGGGCAGGCAAGUCCCCUCGAGGGGCCUUUUGCCGUGGGGGGCAAGACCCGUGCCCUCCGCGCCCCGGAUGGGAAGGACGACUCCGGGGGUCGGGUUCCCGGGGAUUGCCCCAAGAGGGGAGGAGCCCCCCCAACAAAACGACCGCGAGACCGUAAAACAAGUACCGUGGGGGAAAGUUGAAAAGAAUUUUGAAGAGGGGUUCAAAAAAAGGAAAUUUCGGGGGGAAACGGGGGGGCCUCAAGUCCUCGACUGGGGGGGUUUCGUGGUGCCGCCGACGCAUUUCCGCUCCGGAGGGGGGAAUGGGCCGGCGGAGGCGACCCCGGUCGGGGGGCGUAUCCGGGGGUCCUUUUGGGUACCCCCGAUUUCCCCCUUUUCGAUGGAAACCCUCCCGCGUUCGAGGGGGAAGCGUCCCCCGGGGGCGUCGGUUCCGUCUCGGGCCGGUCGUGGGCGUGGACGCGCCAUUUUUAGGGGUGGCUGGCGGUUCCGUGUGCGGCUCCCGGGUUUUCCGGGCGUCUCUCGAUGCUUUCCCGGGGCUCGCCCCGCGACGAGUAGGUCGGUCCCCACCCGACCCGUCUUGAAACACGGACCAGAGUCUUACUGGGGGGAGUCAAGGGGAAAUAACCCCAACGGCGUAGCGAAAGGAAGAUCGCGACCCCCCUUGGCUUUAUAGUCGACGGGCGCAGCGACCCCUUUUCUAGCCCAAAGGAGGAAGGAGCGGGGGCACCUGGUAGGACCCGAUAGGUGGUGAACUUUUUUCUCGGGGCAAACGAAGGCCAGGAAACUGGGCUAGGGUCGAAGCGGUUCUGACGUGCAAAUCGAUCGCCAGACCCAGUAUAGGGGCGAAGACCAAUCGAACCACCUGGUAGCUUUCCCUCGAAAUUUUCCCCUCAGGAUAGCUGUCGCUCAUUUAUGGCCAGUCUCGUUCCCGUAGAGAAUGAUUAGAGGCUUCGGGGACCCCCGUGCACUCGACCUUUCUCAAACUACGAAGGGACGUGAAAUCGGUUCUCUCCCGAUCGGAAAACCGAAGUGCGGAUGGGAUGACGUGUGGGCCUUUUUUGGGAAAAGCAGAACUGGCGCUGCGGGAUGAACCGAACCCCGGGCUAAGGCGCCCUAUGCGGGACGCUCAGAGCCCCCAUAAAGGUGUCGGUUGCAGGAAAAAAGGGGACGGUGGCCACAAAGUCGGCCCCCCCGGGGGUGUGUAACAACUCACCUGCCUAAAAACCCGGUCCUGAAAAGGGAUGGCGCUCCAGCGUGUACCCCCCCGGCCCGGUGCCCUAAUUCAGUUUUUGGGGGUCACCAGUAGGAGGGUCGCGUCGGUGGGCGUAGAAGGUCACGGGGGAGUCGGACGGGAGCCCCCGGGGGGGAGAUCUUGGUGGUAGUAGCAAAUUUUCCCAGUGAGCCUGGAAGACUGAAGCACGGAAAAGGGUUUUUCUGUGAACAGCAGUUGAACAUGGGGGGGUCGGUCCGGGGGUCUUACGCCAAUGCGUAUAUUUAAAUCUUUCAUUAAAUUGGGGCGAAAGAUAAAGACCGAAGGGAAAAGGGUUAAUAUUCCUUUACCCGGACACGGAGAUCUCGGCCUCGGGUCGUGUGCGGAACCACCGAACUCGGCGACGUCGUCGGAGGACCCGGAAAGGUUGACUUUUCUUCGUAAGACGGCUUUCCCCGAAUCUCGCCCGGGGGGAAAAAAAGGAGUGCCGUCGAAGAGCACGGUCGCGCCCCCCUGUCCGGUGCGCCUCCGCCCCCCUUGAAAAAGAGGGGGUGUUUUUUCGCCGGCCCGUACCCAUAUCGCAGCAGGUCCCCAAGGUGAACACCUCUAGUCUCUAGAACAAUGAAAGGAAAGGGAAGUGGCAAGUUGACCCCUAACCUCGGAAAAAAAGGUUGGCUUUUGUGUCUCGGUCUCGGGACUUCCAAAUUAUUUCUGAAGCUCCUAUCGUGAGGGGGACGGUCCUCGAAUCGGACUCCGUAUCAGGGGGGGUGGAGGUGGAAGGUCCUUCUCCCUUCUAGGAGGGUUCGGGGGCCCGGAGGACGAGCAUGGCGAAAAGCGGCACGGCCCCGGGGGAACCGACUGUCUAAUUAAAACAAAGCAUUGCGACGGCCGGAGAGCGGUUUUGACGCAAUGUGAUUUCGCCCAGUGCUCUGAAUGUCAAAGUGAAAAAUUCACCAAGCGCGGGUAAACGGGGGGAAUAACUAUGAUUUUCUUAAGGUAGCCAAACGCCUCGUCAUCUAAUUAGUGACGCGCAUGAAUGGAUUAACGAGUUUCCCACGUCCCUAUCUACUACCGGAAACCGCAGCCAAGGGAACGGAUUUGGGGGAAAAAUUCAUCGGGGAAAAGAAGACCCUUUCGAGCUUGACUCUAGUCUGACUUUGUUCUAAGGCAUUAUUGGGGUCUGGUGGGAACUCCCCCCGGGGGAGGAGAGGGAAAUACCACUACUUUGAUCCCCGGGACUCAUUCGGUGAUGUUCAAAUUUUUUCCAAGUGAAAAAAUUUUUUUUCAAUCUUUUUGAAGCGUCCCCUAAUUGGGGCGAUGCGGGGAACCCCAGCAGUGUCAGGCGGCGGUUUGUCUGGGGCGGAACAUCGUAAAUGGCCCAGGUGUCCAAGGCCCGCCGGGCCGGGACAAAACCUCGAGAAAAGGGGGGCAAAAGCCGGCUUGCUCCUUCUUCACGGAAAGGGGGACCUGGAAACAGGGGCCCACGCCCCCUUUUUUUCGCUGUGAGAGUCUCAGGGGAGAGGUGUGGAAAAGUUACCGGGGGGGAUAACUGGCUUUGGCGGCCAAGCGUUCAUAGCGACUCGCUUAUUGUUUCUUCGAUGUCGGUUUUAUCAUUGGAAGCGAAUUCGCAAAGCGUUGGAUUGUUCCCCCACUAACAGGGAACGUGAGCUGGGUUUAAGUCGUGAGACAGGUUAGACCCUCAGAAGACGGGUCGUCGCUACGGUCAAACUUGCCCAGUACGAGGGAACCGUAGGUUGGGACAUUUGGUACUGCGCCGGUGGUGCCGCGGUGCGAAGCUACCAUCCGGUAGGAGAACGGCUAAACCCCUCCCCGGAAGCCUCCCCUGAUGGUGGGAUAAU